GAUAAACGCUGGCGGCGUGCCUAACACAUGCAAGUCGAACGCCCUACGCAAGUAGGGAGUGGCGGACGGGUGAGGAACACGUGGGUUAUCUGCCUUGAGGUGAGGAAUACCGGCGAGAAAUCGCCGACAAUACCGCAUACGUUCGUAAGAACAAAGUCGCAAGACGCCCCAAGAUGAGCCUGCGUCCGAUUAGCUAGUUGGUGGGGUAAAAGCCUACCAAGGCAGCGAUCGGUAGCUGGUCUGAGAGGACGAUCAGCCACACUGGGAUUGAGAACGGCCCAGACUCCUACGGGGGCAGCAGUGAGGAAUUUUCGUCAAUGGCCGAAAGGCUGAACGAGCAACGCCGCGUGCAGGAAGAAGGUCUUCGGAUCGUAAACUGCUUUUCUGGGGAAGAGACCGGACGGUACCCCAGGAAGAAGCCCCGGCUAACUACGUGCCAGCCGCCGCA
rnacentral:rRNA from 1 species